AUUGAACGCUGGCGGCAGGCCUAACACAUGCAAGUCGAACGAGUGGCGGACGGGUGAGUAAUGUCUGGGAAACUGCCCGAUGGAGGGGGAUAACUACUGGAAACGGUAGCUAAUACCGCAAACCAUCGGAUGUGCCAAGAUGGGAGUAGCUAGUAGGUGGGGUAACGGCUCACCGAGGCGACGACCCCUAGCUGGUCGGAGAGGAAGACCAGCCAGAAUGGAACUGAGACACGGUCCAGACUCCGACGAGAGUGAGCAGUGGGGACUAGUGCGCAAUGGGCGCAAGCCUGAUGCAGCCAGGCCAGGUGUAUUAAGAAGGCCUUCGGGUUGUAAAGUACUUUCAGCGAGGAGGCGUUACUCACAGAGGAAGCACCGGAUGACUACGGGCCAGCAGCCGCGGUAAUUC
rnacentral:rRNA from 1 species